GACGAACCGUGCGAACGUUAUUCGGAAUCACUGGGCUUAAAGGGCGCGUAGGCGGGCCGUCGAGCCAGGGGUGAAAUCCUCCAGCCCAACUGGAGAACAGCCCCUGGGACCGGCGGCCUCGAGGGGUGCAGGGGCAUGCGGAACUCAGGGUGGAGCGGUGAAAUGCGUAGAGAUCCUGAGGAACACCGGUGGCGAAAGCGGCGUGCUGGACACCUACUGACGCUGAGGCGCGAAAGCCAGGGGAGCGAACGGG
rnacentral:rRNA from 1 species